GAAGUGCAUGCUAUAGCACUGGUUUUCAAGCUCUCUGAUAUGUCAUCAUUCCUUUGUUUUGACAUUAUUAUUUCCUAAAAAAUUGGAAUCUUAAUUAAAUUCAGGAUUAGCCAGAGAUACUUAUUUGAAUGCUGUUGGUUUAAAGUUGAAAUAAAAGAGAAAAAAAUGUGAAUUUUUCAAGUGUGAACUCAAGAAUGAGAAGAACCUAUUGCUUGUGGGAAGUUUGUCACAGUCUUUAAAGUUGGUGGACACCUUGUUAUUUGAAGUAGUAACACCCCUCUCCCUCAUUCAUAUGAGAAACAUUUCUCAUAAUCACUUUUAAAUCAAGAAGCUGUUUUGUUUUCCAUGUGGGGAAGAAUAAAUCCUUUUUCUUACUCGUCUUUUGAGUGAGAAUUGCUAUGACAAAUACUCACAAAGAUUGUAAUAAAUGGCUUCUAGCUGACUGUUAGACACUGUACAUCUUGUUUAUCCUUUUAACCUUAAUUAGAAGUGAAUUAUCACUCAUCUUUGAACUGUUUAGAUAUUAUUAUAUUUGAUAAUCUGUAAAGUUAUUUGAGUGUUAUAAUAAAACUAUUAUAUAU
rnacentral:lncRNA from 1 species